AUGACUUCGCCUGAAGCAAGGUGCCACUGGUUUCCACUACCACAUGCCAACGGCACUCUUCCUACCUUCCAGAGCAGUGUUGGUGCUUCCUGGUUUGGCUUGUGCUCAGGACGAAUAAGCCUGGAGGCUUGUAAUCAUCCACCUCAUGGCGUUGUUGGAACAAAUUACGAUGUGUCGACCGCAGCAUCGAAGAAGCAAGGUGCUUCAUAAAUGACAAGCAUUUCAUGCUCACUUCUCAGUAGACAACGUGGUGUGCACAGUGCACUGGGCACAGGGGGACCCGGGUCCAGCGUGCACCUUCCCCGCCCCGUCUUCCCCGAGGACCAGGGCUCCGUUCAUCUCCUCCAUUAUGGAAUUCUUCAGGACCUCAUUUUUGUUCCACACAAUUAAGCACUUAAUUAAAUACUUUUUUCAAACCGUUAAAAUUGUUUCGUGAGUGGAGGUUAUGUGGGACGUCACUGGCCCGCCCUCUUGGGAUCGCAGGGCUUUAAGGGUAUCAGCACACAUUGCACAGGAUGUACGCAGUUGACAGAUCUUUGAAAAAAACACCAAAAAACCCCCAAAAAACAAACAAAAAAAACCCCAUACAAGAGUAGAGCCCAAGCCAGGGCUGCCUCGGUCUUCCAGCAGUGGAGCUAUCAUUCUGGGCAGCGAGGCAGCGGGGCAAAGUCUUCCAGAGAAAGGUUGGCCUGAUUAGUCUUCACAGAGAUGGAGAAAAACAGCCACAUAUUCCUGGUAACGGGAGCAGCAACAGCGAAGGGCCUGGGGUAGGCGCUCACUUGCUCCCCGAGGGGACGGAUGCUGGCAGUUCUGAGUCUGUAGCCAGCCUUUCUGCGCCGAAUCAUUGGAGGUGUGGGAAGAAUCCGUAGUGCAUCGUCUAAUGACCUCUUCCGCUGUCUUGAAUUUAAAUCUCAUCUGCUGUCAAGAUUUGAUUCCGAUGCUGGAUUUCAGAGCCAGGAGCAAAUUGCGUCCCUGACUCUAUCUGCCAAGGCAAGCUCCCAGUUUCCUUUGCUCCCAGCGGGGGAUAAACCCUGCCCAGAGUUGUUCUGAGGACAGAAUGAGGUAAUAGAUACAAGAAGACACGUGGAGGAAAACUACAAGUGCUCCAAUGUGAAGAUCUCUUUUCUUUGCCAUGGAAACCAGGCUCUCCCCAAAGUAGGAGUUGUGGAUGUUCAAGCCCAUGAGGGGGUCAGACUUAAUUGGAAAUCAU
rnacentral:lncRNA from 1 species